rnacentral:rRNA from 1 species
GACGAACGCUGGCGGCGUGCUUAACACAUGCAAGUCGAACGGAAAGGCCCUGCUUUUGUGGGGUGCUCGAGUGGCGAACGGGUGAGUAACACGUGAGUAACCUGCCCUUGACUUUGGGAUAACUUCAGGAAACUGGGGCUAAUACCGGAUAGGAGCUCCUGCUGCAUGGUGGGGGUUGGAAAGUUUCGGCGGUUGGGGAUGGACUCGCGGCUUAUCAGCUUGUUGGUGGGGUAGUGGCUUACCAAAGCUUUGACGGGUAGCCGGCCUGGGAGGGUGACCGGCCACAUUGGGACUGAGAAACGGCCCAGACUCCUACGGGAGGAAGCAGUGGGGAAUAUUGCACAAUGGGCGGAAGCCUGAUGCAGCAACGCCGCGUGCGGGAUGACGGCCUUCGGGUUGUAAACCGCUUUCGCCUGUGACGAAGCGUGAGUGACGGUAAUGGGUAAAGAAGCACCGGCUAACUACGUG